UACGAAGGGGGCUAGCGUUGCUCGGAAUCACUGGGCGUAAAGCGCACGUAGGCGGAUUGUUAAGUCAGGGGUGAAAUCCUGGAGCUCAACUCCAGAACUGCCUUUGAUACUGGCGAUCUCGAGUCCGGGAGAGGUGAGUGGAACUGCGAGUGUAGAGGUGAAAUUCGUAGAUAUUCGCAAGAACCCCAGUGGCGAAGGCGGCUCACUGGCCCGGUACUGACGCUGAGGUGCGAAAGCGUGGGGAGCAAACAGG
rnacentral:rRNA from 1 species